UACGUAGGGGGCAAGCGUUGUCCGGAAUCAUUGGGCGUAAAGAGCGUGUAGGCGGCUUGGUAAGUCUGCUCUGAAAGCCCGGGGCUCAACCCCGGGAGGCGGGUGGAUACUGUCAAGCUCAAGUCCGGAAGAGGAGUGUGGAAUUCCGUGGUGUAGCGGUGAAAUGCGCAGAUAUCAGGAGGAACACCAAUGGCGAAGGCAGCACUCUGGGACGUGACUGACGCUGAGACGCGAAAGCGUGGGGAGCAAACAGG
rnacentral:rRNA from 1 species